rnacentral:lncRNA from 1 species
AUCACUUCCGCUUUCGAUUGGCAUUUCGUUGGGAAAUAAAGCGGACAAUCUACUCUCAGUAGCACUGAUCACCGUUGGUGAGGAUUUGACAACUGUUGUCUUCCAUUAUCUUCGAAGGGUCUUUGAACCUGUACAGAGCUCCUCUGCUGGAUAAAUAAAAGAAUUGGGGUACUCGAUUUCGCCCAUUCUCUUAAGAGUUGAGAAGGCAAAGGUUAUUUGACUUUGCCCGCCUCCUCAAGGUUGUACUCCAUGCAUCGAGCUGGUUACUGGCCUUCGCCUGCUCUUUGCUCACACUUCUGAAGCACUUAAAUUGUUUGUACUCCUUGCGUUGAGUUAGCUACUGUGAUUCACCUUCUCAAUGCCAUCGAACUUCUGGAAUGCAAGAAGUUUUCACCCAACUUGGAGUAAGUCUCUAAUAGUUUUGGUCGCCUCUGGGAUUGUACCAUCUUCUCCAUCAACCCGGCCGCCUACUCCAUUGAGUAGUAAAGGUACAGCACCGCGUACUGCCUGCAUCGUUCCUUGGUCAUGCCCUCUUGCAUGACCCGAAGUCCUUCACUUUCGGCUAUCUUGAUGAGAAGCUCGUUGACACCGGUCUUACAAAGUUCCUUGGCCUCUGCCUUUCAGCCUUGUCUCGGUACUUGGAGUUUGCCUCUGCAUGCUCCACCUCCUCGGCCUCUUUCACGACCAAGCGCUCUCCCUCCAUGAGAGCAAGGAAUCAAUGACUUUCACGGAAGUCCCGCCUCUGCGGUACCAUGGCGCUGCCAUGCCCAUGGCCCUACUAUCCGUCGCCUCGCAUCUGCAUCCAUUUUCUUCACGAUCAGUAGAUAUGUCUCUGUGGCACUCCUCCGAGUCCACCUUCAUUCUAACUGAUGCUUGAUUUUGGGUAGCUAAGUCCCUUUAGACUCAUUGUCGCUUCCUCGCCCCUUUCGACCCCCUGCUUCAACACCUCCGUGUUCUCCAAGCAGCUCCCUUUGGUCGAUGGAAAGACAGAUUGUAACUCCCAUGCAUGGCCUCUGCCAUCACGUUGUAGGGUUUGCACCGAUUCUGUUCUCCUUAGCUUCCUUGGUAGCAACGUUCGCUUACUCGACAUUAUCCUUUGACUUGCCGGGCUCCCUUGAGCGAAUAUAGGCUCUGAAGCAGUCCAACUCUCCAGCUGCUUCGAUCAUACCUCUGCAUGAUCAAGUCCCUCCCAUGGAACUCACUGGUACUUGCAUUCAAACUUUUUCCUUGGUGGAACACAGUUCCCAUAUGUUGAUGACCAAGGUUUUCAUCCGAUGCAAAAUUCGAUGCACGCACGGAAGACCCGCCUUUGCGGUACCAUGGCCUUCACGCCUUGAAUCCAUAGCCCUUCUUGUCGUCGUGUUGUUCACCGAAGUGGAGCUUCCAGUAGCUCCCGAUCAUACCUCCGUAUGAUCUAGUCCCUCACGGGACUAUGUCGUGUGUAUCGCAUUGCCACGAACUGUUCCACCACGAUUCGCUGCACCAUGUCGCCUCCUGGUGACAUCUCUAUUGCAUUCUGAUCCUUGUGGGAUGAACUCGAAUUGUGAUCCCUCCAUGUGUGGCCUUUGCCAAUACAUCGCAGGGUUUCUUCCACCUUCGAUUUUGUUCACUCCUUUGGCAAUCGACCUUCAUCCACCCACUCUUGGGUCACACCUAGAUGAAGCACCGCUCCAGGACUGUCCGUUGCCUAGUAGCUCCCGAAGUCCACCGACUUCGCUGCAAUUAGUGCACCAUUGUCUGGAUCCUAGGCCUCUGCCCCUACCAGCACAAUCUUCGCUGCGCACCGCUUUUUGCCUGGCAACUUGACUGGCAACACUGUGGCAUAUUCUUCAAGAGUACCCACCUCCGUGUCCUCUUGCCCCGUGCCAAGACCUUCUAAACUCAACUUCGCUUCCGCAAGUUGAGUCGCCCUGGUUUCUCCAUCAAAUGUUUCUCCGAGAGAAGGUGCAUGUGCCCAGAAGCUCCCUUCGUCUUUGGCACCAUGCAAGAUGAGUCCGCUCCGUCAGAAUGAAGGACCUAUGGAACAACAUGAUCCUACUCUUGCCUCUGCAAGAGUUCAUGUCCUUGACCUUUGUCCAAGGAAAGCACUGUGCCUCCGCUCCAUGUUUCAUCUUCUAUGCUGGCUCCCUUCAUACGGCUUGGGUACUUCACCAAGUUACACCCAAGUUGCUUCGCUCCUCGUUUUUGCAUUGAGUUGAUGGUGGCCCUCGCGCCCACCAUUCCACGAGUCAGCCCUCCCAUUGAGUCUGAUCUCCAUAUCGACUCCAAGUGUGUCUUCAUUUAUGUUGCCUUAGGUCGCUCCCCCACUUGAUCUCGCAAUGUAUCCACCAAUGCAUUCUCUCAAGCGAGAUCAUGCGACGACUCCUCGUCGCUCGCUCGGUCCAUUGAGCUUCAUGGAGUUAUUGUUUGUUGAGGUAUUCCUCCUCAACAUGUGCGGUCUAUUGCACAUGAUUCUCCCUCUAGAGAGCCGGGACUUAUCCCUCCUGGAUAUCUAUCUCGUUGGAGCAACAUCUCUCUUUGUUUCGGAGACCACCAUCCCCUUCGGACUACUCCGAUUUGCUAAACAAACUGUGCAUUGUUCUGCCUCCUGCAAACGCACUUGCUAGAUUGCGACUCCACGUCAAUACAGCCCUCGCUGCACCACUCAAGGCCUAGCAACAUGUUGAACUUGCUGCACACUUCAGCCUCCUAUGGACGUAUCCUUCACAUGCCGAAGAGAAAGUUUCAAUGCUCCAUGACGCCGAGUUUCGGUCGCCUUGGGAUGGCCGUGAACAUUCCAUCGUCUGCAUACAAGCCCAUGCAUGAGUACCAAAUUCUUCGAGUUAGCAAUUCCCCUUACCUCUGUGAGCUUUGCACAACUCUUUCGGUCGCUGAGCAACUCAUUCCACCUUACAUGGUCUCAUCCUUUACCAAGCGCCUCGCUUGCCUUAAGCACCAUCAAGUAUGGUUGUCAACGUUGAGCCGUAGCUCAAACUCAGCCAUCCUAACCUUUGUGCGCUCCGCAUUCUUCCAAGUUUGCCUGUUCUCGUGGUACCUCUUGCGCGAAGGGUUGGCCAUUCCUUUGAAUGCCAAUCUCAGAUGCCCGCUCCUCCGAGCGACUCCUUUUCCCUACAUCUCCAUGCCCAUUUUCCCUCAAACGGUCACGCGUGUGCUGACUGCCCUCAACGCAGCCCCGCUAGGUCCCCCACAUUUGCAUGCUAAGUGUUUCUAUGAGUGCUUGUCCCGCUCUGAUACCAUCUGUCACGGGCUUAGCUGGUUUUGCCUAAGUCGUGCGGCACCCUUGCGUGUCCGUCCGCAAAGGUCAGUCUCCCCGAAGCCUCCCAUGGUCCCUUGGGACCCAUGAAAAAGAAAACGCGUUAGAGAAAACGUCUCACUCGGGAUCCACAAGUAAACAUUUCCGAAAACACUUCAUAGACAAUACAAAUUACAAACAGACUUUACAAGCUCUGAACAGUUGCAUAACAAAAGGUCAAAAUGGUCCACUACAGACCGAAAAUCUCUCACAAGUGUCUACAUGACACAACCUUUAUUUACAAGCCUAAAGCGACCACCAAACCUAACUAAAAUGGGACUAUUAAGCCUUCGGUCGUCCCUCUACAUGCUGUGCAAAGCAUGAAUAUACCAAAAUACAUGAACAUACAUAAGCAUUACAUCAAACAUCCUGUUUAGAAGUUUGUCCGUGACAGUGAGGAGAAGAAAUGCCUCCUCGACGCUUGGUUUCUUCUCCCCGCGAUGCCAAGGAUUCUUCUCCACGCGCAGAUGAGGAGAGAGAGCAGCGUUGAUCUCCAGGUUCUCCUCUUUUUUCUUCUCCCUCUGUUAAUAUCACCCGGGAGCGGGCGGUGACGAUCGAUUUAGGAUGGUAAUGGGGCGGAAAUAGCCCCAAUUGAUGGUACCGCCCAGUAGCGGGUGAUCCGUGUAUCGGUCUACUGACAGACUGAUAUGUACUGCCCGGUACGGACGUUAUUAUUUGAAAUUAAAAUCCUUGGUUUUGAGACCAUUUAUAUGGAACACUGGUGAGACUUAGUCGAUCCAGCUUUCUCCUAGAUGUACAUUUUGCAAAUCCUAGAACUUAUCACAUAAAAUUUCUUUCUGUAUUCCUUUGUCCUUGUUCUUCUAAUUCUAGGAGCAAAAGAAAAAUGUUGCACAUAAUUUUUUUUGUUCCAUGAUUUUCUUUUUAUUAUGUUUCUCUAUUUGAAAAAUAUAAGCUGCCUGGAAAAUGAAUGUAAAUAAUCUUUCCUAUCCUCAGGGCUAUUCGUCAUCCUGCAAGUGGAUAUGUUCAAGGAAUAAAUGAUCUUGUCACACCAUUUCUGAUGGUGUUCUUAUCUGAACAUCUAAAUGGCAGCAUGGAGAACUGGUCAAUUUCAGAUCUUUCUCCACAGAUGAUCUCUAAUAUAGAAGCUGAUUGCUAUUGGUGUCUCUCAAAGCUGCUUGAUGGCAUGCAAGAUCAUUACACAUUUGCUCAACCAGGAAUUCAGCACCUUGUUUUCAGACUGCGAGAGCUGGUUCGCCGCAUAGAUGGUACCUUCAGUUUUUGUCAUUAUUCCUUUACUUUUUAAUGUACCUGUAACACAGCUUUAAUCCAAGUAUUAAGUUUGCAAAAAUGAUGUUCUUUUACCCAAGUAUUACGCCUGUAGUCCUAACAAUCUACAGUUGGCUAUAUAGGAACAGUUAUAGAUAAGUUCUUUCUCGUCACCAUUUUUCCAUUGAGAGAAUCAUCCUCCUGUAUUUCUUGGGCCAUCAUGCACAUUUUGUUCUUUCUGGUUAAAGUUUUCUUUGGACCUCUCAUGGUACCUCUAAUUUUAAUUGCUCACCUCCCCCUCUGGACAUGUUUGGGUUUUCCUUAUCCUAAAAUGGUGCUACCACUGACUUAUGAUAAAUUUAUCCAUGGCUCAACUCAAGGGUUGCUUUUUCAGCCAGUACAGAACCGAUGUGCCUUGUGAUGUGAAAAAAAAUGCAGUCCUGGUUCCCUCAUUUUGGUUGUGUUGUAUCCUCUGCAUCGAAUCUGAUUCUCAAAUCAUUAUGUUUUCUUGUUAGCCAAUUUAUGAAAACCCACCUAGCUAUUGGGUUAACCAAUGAUCAAAAUUUUUGACACAAAAACAUGCAUGCACCUCUCCAUUUUAAGACACAUACGUCAAUUGUUUGAUGUCAUCAUUCAUAUUAGAUAUGACAACUAAAAGACAUUCUCUCAAUCAAGCAAUAAGAUAGAAAUUUGAUAUCACAGCUUUGUGAUAAAGCAAUAAGCAACUCUCUUUACAUGACAAGUUUAAAUCUUUGAUUUUUAACCCUUUAACAUAUAACCUUAUAAACAGUAAACAUGAUCUUUCAAGUAGUACCUAUAGUUGCUUGCUUCAAUCUAUCUCUGUGAGAAUAUUCUGCCCUUCACUUCUUAUGUAUUUCUUUCAUAAUAUCUUUUGAGUUCGAGAUACUUUCAUUCUGAUUAAUCUUUCAUGUUUUGACAUAAGAACCUGUAUCAAGACACAUGGAGAAGCACGGCCUGGAGUUUCUUCAAUUUGCUUUUAGAUGGUUCAAUUGCCUUCUAAUACGUGAGGUUGUUUUGAUACUUAAAGAAUGUUUCCUUGGAGAUUAUGUGAUUGCCAUUUAAGUUGCUAAUUUAUGGUUUAUAACUUUCUAGAUCCCGUUCCAUUUGGUUACCCGUUUGUGGGAUACUUAUCUUGCUGAAGGAGAUUCAUUGCCAGAUUUUCUUGUGUAUAUAUCUGCGAGUUUGCUAUUAACAGUAAGUUGUAGUUUGUCAGUUAAUUAUGUUGUGUUCAUCUGAAUAUUAUCUACAUUUGAUUACUGGGUGUAAUGUGUGUUGCAUAAUCCUUUGAAAAUCACCUAUGACAAUGAUUCUAUUCUUGCUUUUAUUAUGAUAUAUGUGGGAGAACUGUUUCCUUAAACUUUUAUGAUCAUCCACAAAACUGACAGCAUAAUCCUUUGAAAAUUGCCUAUGACAAUGAUUCUAUUCUUGGUUUUAUUAUGAUCUGUGUGCGAGAAUCUUUUUCCUUGCUAACUUUUAUGAUCAUCGACAAAGUUGACAGCUAGCUGUAGACCGUUGGGAUCAGUCUAAAUGAAUGAACAUGAGUAAGCUGUGUCCUAGACAUCAUUUAACGGCCUAGUCAAUUAGACUCAUACAAAGUCACUUCUGAUUAAGUUGGUCCGAAAACAAAUAAAGAAUCAAUCAACAAAUUUUUGAGUGAGUAUAAAAUGAUUUCAUUGAUUUUUCAAUAAUACAAAGUAUAAUAAACUAUUGAUAAACAGUAUUUUUAUCUUUUUUUUUUUCUUUUGGUAAUUCAAUAUGAGAUCCUACCUUAAACCCUUUUUGGAGAAUUGAGAUAGGUUCUAUAUUUGUGUUUCAUCAAGACGAGAAGAUCCUAUAUUUGUGUUUUGCCAAUUUCAACAUAAGUGCCCACGAUUUGAAACAACCAUAAGAUAGGUUCUAAAGAACUUUGAAUUUCUUCAAGUUGAUCAAUUGGGAUCCAUUAGUUAAUAAGACCAGACUAGUUUCUACCUACAAAUGAUAUUUCUGGCAUCAGUUUCAAAAUAUUACACUGGCGAGCAACAUUGUAGUGGUAUCAGCCAAUUUCAAUAUGAUCUAAGUGAUUGGUCUCGAUAUGGUCUAAGGCUGAUUCUGUUUGUUUGAUUUUUCAACCUUAAUAACAUGAUAUGAAUCACAAUUAUAUGGAAUCAAUCAAGCUCACUUAAAAUUGGUUUUUCAUACUGUUUGACUAAGUCUACACCUCAACUGUCUUUAAAAGAAGAAAAAGAAGAAAAAGAAGAGAGGAGUGGAGAAGGAUGAGGGAAUUCAAGGUGGUAAAAGGCAAAAAAAAAACAUAUGACUAUAAAUGUAAAACAGAUGAGAGUAGCCAUGGAAUGAGGAAGAGAGUAGCCCUGGAAAAUUGAAGGAACUAGAUAUUUCAUAAUAGUUUUGGAAGAUAUCAUGGGAUUAGCAAUUAAUUUCAAAUUUUAUAAGCACUCUUCUUGAGUAAAGUCUUUCUUUUUUUAUCUUUUCAUUAACACUUCACCAUCAUGGUGAUUAGUUAACCAUCAAAGUUGUAGUAGGUUCAUCAGUAUCUAUAUAUGUAUGUAUGUAUGUAUAUAUGUAUAUAUGUAUAUAUAUAUAUGUAUAUACAUAUAUAUAUACAUAUAUAUAUAUAUACACAUAUAUAUAUACAUAUAUAUAUAUACACAUAUAUAUAUACAUAUAUAUACAUAUAUAUACACACAUAUAUAUAUACAUAUAUAUACACAUAUAUAUAUACAUAUAUGUAUGUAUAACAAUUACUUUUUAUAAUAAAAUGUACAAUAAUGAAUCAUUCUUUAUCGUUUUUCUUGUUAUACUAUGUAUAGUUUUUAUCUGUUUACACUUUGAUUUCGUGUGUGUUUUCAGAUACUUUUUGAACUAAUCAAAUUGAUGUAUCAGCCAAACCCUUUUUUUCUUUUAUGUUGGAAGGGGAUAUGAUCAAUGCCUUCAAUUGGAAAACUCCUUUGAGAUAAAAAUGCAUUCAAAAAGACUGAGUGAUUCUCUAGAUGAAUAAAGCCGGAAUCAGUAUGCCUGGAAAUUGGUUUCAUGAGCUAUAGUGGGAUGUGUCUCUGCUGUCACUUCAUUGAAGAGCCUUUUGAUGGUUAAGACCACUAUUCUAAAGUUUAUUCAGGAACAUCAAUCAAAUUUUUUCAAACACACAUUAAAUUGCCUGUGACAUAAAGGGUGCACGAAAGGUGCCAUCAAAAUUAUCGAGAGCAGUGGAGAUGAUGAAAAUAAACAUUGAGUAAAUUUGAAAUAAAUUAGCAAUCACAAGUUGCCAGAAAUGAUAUCAUUGUUGUUGCCUCAGACAACCACAGAGAUUGCUGGGAUGCCAUUAUUGAUGCUAUUUUGUUGGAGAGUAAGCCAAACAACUACAUAAGCUUCAUGGAAGCUUUCAUUGAUGUGGUGCUUGUUAUCAAUGCAUUUGAUGGAACAAGCUCAACAAUCACCUAAGUGUCACAUGCAGGGAACAGAAGGCUCCUAUUUCCAAUAAGUUGACACAUUGCUUAUGAUAAAGAAACUCUGAGGCAGAUGUCGCUGAAUUGUCAGAGUUUCUUUGAUGGGGGAGGUUACCGUUACUUAUUCAGUCAUGUUGCUUUGCUGCUAUGUUGUAUCACCUUGCUGUCAGAAUCAUAAUAUCUUGCUGGAACCAUGUCAGAAUCAUUAUUUACUUCUUUGAUGAGAAUGACAUCCAUUAAUAUAUGACUUGAUAAGCUAAGCAAAAAAUUUCCCUUUUUGGAUACCAAUUUGUCAGCUUUGUUAUUAUUGGUUGAAAAAUAAGACCAUUCUUUUGGGCUUUUAGGUUUUAAUGAUACCAUUAGAACUAUUAGAUUAAAACUUUAACAAAACUGGCGGAUUACCAUUGACUUCUGGAUACUGUCACCUUUUAGUUCUGUUUGUCGUUUGCUUUCUGUUGUCGUUGAAGUUGCUAACACAAGGCAGGAGUUUUAUAAUAGUUUCAGCAGAGGUAUACCUAUCCUUCUGUUUGAGUAUGAUCCAACAAAUAUCCACUGUGAGAUUUAUCAAUUCUUGUGGAAGCAACAGUUAAUGUGUCGUUUAAUUUUGGCCAAGGUUCUAGGAAUCUAUAAGGUUGUUAUAUUGAUGUUAAUAGUUGACCAAGGGACUUGUAUCCUGUGAUGAAGCGACCUUCUGUCUUGACUUCUAUGCAAACUAACUUAUUCUUUUGAUCUGAGAUCAAUAUGAUCCUCUGGCUGCCUCUUUUUAAGUCAUUCCAGUUGAUUGCCUACAGAUAAUCAUGUAUGACCAGGAUACAAGAAAUAUAAAAAUGUGGCAUGGUGGAAAUCUACAAUAACAAAGCUUUCCUUAGAACUUAGCAUGUUAUUCAAAUAAGAAAAUUUAUGCUCUGAUGUAGUCAACAUAUGCAUGUGUUUGCUUUCCAAAUUUAUGGUUAAUGCAAAUGGUUGCUCAUUCUUAGAAGCAUCACUGCAAUUUUAAUCAAUAUACACAUUACAUUAUUAGGCCGCAUCAGUUGUUUUUUUUUUUUUACCUCUUUUGAUUAGCACAGAAAGUUGCAAAAUUCUAAAUUCACAGUUUUACAUGUUUCAGUGGUCUGAUAAACUCCUAAAGCUUGAUUUCCAAGAGAUGGUAAUGUUCCUUCAACACCUUCCCACACUGGACUGGACUCACCAUGAGCUUGAGAUGGUCCUUUCCAGAGCAUUCAUGUGGCACACCAUGUUCAGCAGCUCUCCAAAUCAUCUAGCCAGCUAGAAUUUUUUGUUCCUUUGCCAACCAUGUAAGUUCCGCUCCAUUUAUUUCUUUUUAAUCUUUCCAUCUGUUUUAUGUUUCGAGUGAUUGUUGAAGGCCAGAGUUUUAAUCGCAUCGUUGCUUGUAACUUUCAUGUUCUAAAGUUGUAUAUUCUCCAUCAUAUGUAUGUAAAAUUUGAUGACACUCUGAUUUCUUAAGUGCAAGUAACCGGGUUCUAUGUUGUCUCCAAAUUAUCCUCUUCCAUGGAAAAUAACAUGUACUAACUAUGGCUGGUAACAUCUCUUUAUUGGUUAUGCAAAAUUGUGGGAUGACUGUAGAACGAAAGACCAUUUGUUGAUAGAAAAACACUCUGUAAGUACCUAAAAUAAAUUAAAAUAUAUGGAUAGAAUUAGUCCAUUCUAAUCUCAAUUUGAAGGUGCUGCUUGUUGCAAUGGCCCCAAUCAUAACUGCUUAGAAUCAGAAGUACAAAGAAAGAUGGUUAUCUUGAUGGGCACUGUUGAGAUCUGAAUAUUUAGCAGCUGAAAUUGUUAGGUUGUGUAAAGCUUAAUUCCCAUUUCUUGAAUCUGUUUGUUGCAUUUGAUUAAACAGUUUCAGUUUGGAGAUUGAUUUAAGCAGUUCUAAAAGAUUGCCUGUUAAUUCGAUCAACAUAAAACUGUCAAAACAAGUUCAAGCACAUGUUUCUGAGGGAACAAUCUUCCUUUGUCUCGGUCUCAAAACUCAUAAAUAUCUUGCAGUCCAACAAUUUUCAAGAAACCACACAAUCUGGUUGAUUUGUGGGUUAUUUUGGUUCAAUUUUCUAUCUUUUGAAUCAAACCAAACGUCGAAAAUUGUUUUGGAUUUUGAUUCCAAUUUCAUGAAGCUUAUUCCUUUGCAUUUUUGUUCUACAAGGAAUUGUUUUUGCCAAAUGUAUCAUAUGAGUCAGUAUGAAAAUGAUCACAAGCUUUCAUCAAUCAGUAGUAGAAUCAAACUCCAGAAUUGCUGGUUUCAUCAGAAUUGUGUUGAUCACCUCCUCGUUCCUUUUAUCUCAUGUUCUUAGCAACUCAUUAGAUUCUCCUUCAUCAUCAUCAUCUCCAGCAGAUUUCAAGAAACCACACGAUCUGGUUUAUCUGUGGGUUAUUUCAGUUUGUGAUAUCUAUCUUUCAAGUCAAUCCAAACCAGAUUAUGUCGAAAAAUGUUUUCCAGGUUGAUACCAAUUUCAUGAAGCAUAUUCAUGACUGAGGAUGAGUGUAGUGAGUCAUGGUGAAGUUGCAUUUUUGUUCUACAAGACUUUUUUUUAUUUAUGCCAUCUAAGUCAGUAUGAAAAUGAUCACAAGCUUUCAUCAAGUAGCAGUAGAAUCAAACUCCAGAAUUGCUGGUUUCAUCAGAAUUGUGUUGACCGCCUCCUCAAUCCUUUAUCUCAUGUUCUUAACAACGUAUUAGAUUCUCCAUCACCAUCUUCAUCUUCCACCAAAACAACUUCCGCAAGAUUUCUCCCUUGGGAAGCUCUUCAAUCAAGCUUCCAAGCAUGGAGAAACAAGCAACAGGAAUCACCUCCUCCUCCUCCUGCGCUACUCAGUGACUCUGGCUUAAAUAUGAAGAGCGCAUGCCUCAGCCCAGAGGCGAAGAGCCAGCCAUGGACAUCCCAAUACACUUCAACCCUGCGUUUGUCGAUUGAGAUGGAGUCGUUCCCUCUGAACUUCCACUGCAGAUGCUUCACAUGGAUGACAACAUUGCCGUCGAUCUUUAUCUCCAUGUCCAGAUCCAUGUUGCCGCCGCCGCCGCCAUUGCUGCACUCCACAGAGAUCUCAUGGCGGCUUCCCUUGUCGUGGAACCGGCUUUUGGUGGCGAACCUCUUCUUGCCGAAGACGUGCUCCUUCCUCGCCACCAAGACGGCCUCGGUCAAGGACGGCCGCGAGCUCGUCCUGCGGUAGGCUUCUUUCCGCAGGUCGCCGAGGAGGAGGACGACCUCGCCUUCGGACACCACGGCGACGUAGUAGUCCGACUGUGGCUCGGGCUCGUUGCAGAACUUUGCGCUGUGGAGGUCCCAGAACACCUCCACCGUCUCCCCUCCGAUCUGAAACCUGUUCGAGCCCUGCUUCCGCCAUGGCUGCCAUGGCGAGAUCUGCACCUUGCAGCUGUGCUGCUGCUUGUUGGCGGCAUCGGAACUGUUCCUUUGACUGCUGCUGCUGCUGCUGCUGUCGGUGUCCGGUCCAUCUACGGAGACCGAGAGGCCAUGCGCGAGCAGAUUCUUGCACCAAGUGACGGUGACCAAGCGGCAGUGACCUGCGACCCUGCUGCGGUACACCGACACCACCAUGCUCUGCCGCGACCUGGUUGCAGCAGCAGCAGUAGCAGCAGGGAGUACAUCCUGAGAGAGCUUCUCGCCAGAAGAGAAGCAUGAGGGAACAGGAAACAGGUCUUGCAUGUUCUUCCCAAACCUGAAUUGGACUGAAGAGAGAUCACGAAUCCUUCCUCAGCCACAGGACCUCAGCAUCAAGAACCGAUGCUUAAUCCUCAACCGGGUGGGAAAAAGUCGAAUGAUCUAUGCUUUGAAGCUGGAAGCAGACAUGAUAAUGGAUGUGAGCUAUUCAUGUAGGGGAGUGGAGGAGGCUCAGAUGGGGCCUCUGGGAUUGGAGCUGCCUUUUUCCAGCUACUUUAGAAAAUGCUUUUCCACACCCAAUGUUGUUUAGGAUUUCUAGACAUCUAUUUUCCAUCUCACCAACAAAGAACUCAAUAAAAAAAUCUGAUUCUUGUGCAUGGUAGACAGAGAUGAACUGUUCUUUUCCAGUAUCAAGACUUGGACUUUGGAGUCUUGGACUUUGACAUGUGAGAAGAACAUCCUUAUGCAAGAUUAACGUGAAAGCCAAGUGGGUCAUAAAAAGAUGGACUUGUAGGUGAGGAACGGAACGGUAUUUCUACAACUUAGCAUAUUAGACUCACAGAAAGAUCAGAAUAGAGAGAGAGAGAGAGAGAGAGAGAGAGAGAGAGAGAGAACAUCCUUAGGCAGAAUUUAUUUUCAAACCGGAACAACAUAUUCCUGAGAAGAAAUAUUUGAAUAUCAAUCUAAUUGAAUUUGAUAUCAAAUCACUUUUUCUGAAAAAUAUAAGAUAUCUCAAUUAUAUGGGCUAAUUACAUAUUAUUAUCUAUAGUUAACUAUAUUUAACAUCUCGAUCUUUAUAUUUUAAAAAUUUUAUUAGUAUUCCUAUACUUACAAAAAUUAAAUAUUUAAUCUUCACUUAGGCCCAUGUUUAUCAAAUAAUUGAAUAUUCAGGAUCAAUUGACUUAUAAAGGUGCAUAGUUGACAUUCAUAAAAAACUAUGAAUUAUGAGCUAUAACUAGCUAUGUUUUGGCAUUGCAUGGCAUAUAAUUUCUCUUUUUCUGGAAGCUGUUUUCCAUAAUUAGCUUCUGGCCAAACUAAGAUGAUUCCACAUCAUGUUAUCUUCUUCGCAUGGGGUUGCAGAUCCACACAAGAACAGACCACACGAGAGAACAGUCCCAUCUGCCUCAAACUGUGGCUAUUUGUAGUGCUUUCCUUUCUUUCUAUACAUGAAGCUCCAAAUGGAAGCACAAGUAGGCAAAAUAGUGGUCCUGUAAGAUGGAAUGUGUAGCAGUAAUGAGUGGAGGACAAAGAGAAGAAUGAUUUCUGGGCAUCUUCGAACAACUCACUAAAAUUGUAUAAAGCUUUUUAUCACUCUCUACUUCAUGAUCAAGAGUAUUAUCAUCAGAGCUGCUAGUGGUGUAGAGAAAGUGUUUUGCAUGAAAGAAAAUUAUCCUUGAUCAGCUUAUGAGUUGAAUGUAAUUAGACGUGAAACUAAAGAAAUGCUGCUUUCCUGAUCAAUGAACAAGAAUCAUGCUUGAAUGACAUAGAACAGUGUCACAAUUCCAGUUCAGAGACAGAAAACUGUGAGUUCUACAGGACACAGAUCAGUAGGGUCAUCCAAUAGUUUCAUGUAUAAUUCAAGCUGACAACUUGGCUAGUGGAGAUGUCAUUGUUGUGUUGGCAUGGGUGAUGAACUGGCUUGAAAGCCCCCUCUCAGCUGCUGAGAGAUGAGGUUUCUGCAUUGCCAUUGGAGAAGCAGAUGAUGGAAUCUAUGCAUGUGAGUUAUGGAUAAGAUAGAGGUUUUUUUCUAUGUCCAUAUUUAUCUCCAUAUUAAGAGAUUUUGUAGGGAUUUUUUCUUUUAUUUUUUGGCAUGCACAGCUUAACCCAUCAACUUUUUUUUUUUUUUUUUUUCUGGCAAUAUCUGAGAACAACUUUUGGGUGCUGUGUGAUUCUGGAAGUCCAGCUUUUUUCAGAUUCUGCCAAAAAUGAAUCAUCAUUUUGUGCUUCUUCAAUCUCUUGAUUAUGAAAAUUCUUUAUUGUAGAAAUAGUCAAUUAAUCAAUCAAUAAAAAAAAAUAACAUUAUUUUUUUGGCACUUGCAUGCAUUAUCUUACUCUUUACUUUACUUUUUUACAUUUAAUGUAAAAGAGUUCCUUCAUCCAAGAAAUGGAUGAUUUGAUUCCAGUUAGUAUCUUAAUUAUAUAUAUAUAUAUAUAUACUAUAAUUCUCACUUUAUUUUUAAUUUAGAUGAAGAAGCUGUGUAUAGGAUAAGAGAACCAACAGACUUUAUAUAUUUUUAAUUAAUUAAUUUUAUUUUUUUAAAAUAAAAAUUAUUAAAAUUAAUUAAUAAUUACUGAAUUUUAUAAAUAAAAAGAAAAAUAAUAAUGUUUAAAUAUAAAUAUAUCUAAAUAUAAAUAAUAAUAAUAUUUGUUAAUAUUAUUUUAUUUGAUUUAAUUGAAUCAAAUAAAUCAUAUUUGACUUAAUCAAGACUAAAUCUAAUCCGAUUUGAAUGUCUGGUCAACCCACCCCAACAUUAUUAUUAACGUCAUAUUGACCGAUGGGUAGAUUCAUGGUAAUAAAAAAAUAUUUUUACAAAUACAGGUUUAAUUGACACAUCUACCUCUCUCUCCGGACGUCCCCCCGCCCUCGAAGAGAUUGAGCAGCCGCUACUGUUCCAUUGGAUCGAUUCUGGGGUUUGAGAUCUACAUCGUGUGGACCCGUCCAGGUGAUCCUUGUAAUCCAACACUCGUCCCUAUUCUUCGUCUUUCCCUGUUUUGGUUCUGGUUGAUCCGCCCCCAUUCUUUCUUCCGCGCAUCUCUCGAUACACGGUGGCAGAGAGGCGGAAGGGGGUUCUGUCGGAUCUUGUCUUGGUAUUGUAAUCUCUUUCCGGCAUUUUUUCCUCUGUCGUUGUUCGGAUCUCUGUUUCUUGUUUCUAAUCUUCCGUUCAUAUUGUGAUUGCAAGCAAUAGUUAGUGGUUCAAAAUUAGUUUUUUGUUGGGUAGGAGAUCGUAACGCCCUUAAUCUGUACGAUAGAGAUGGCAGACAAAUCCCUUUUGCCAAAGUUGUACCCUUUUUGUGUUUCUUGAACCCCCUAAGUUUUCGUAAAUUGACGGGAUCUAAUAGCUGUUCUCUAUUUCCAGUGAGUAUAACUGGUGGUAGGUUAAGUUAAUUCUUGUAAUGAUCUUGUAUUGGUGGAAGCACACCAUCUCAUUCAGGGCAUAUUUUGAACCCAUUAUCUUUGAAGAGUCAGACUUCUGGAGUGAGUUAAAUGUGACUGAUAUCAACAAGAUCUUUAAUUCAUCUUUGACUGUAUUACAUAUGGAUUCUACUAUUAUCAAAACGAGAAGCCAAGCCACCAAAAAGAUAUAUGUUGGCAUAAAAGGCUAAGUUUUCAUACAGCUAAUUCUAUAUAAUAGUUCUUUUUUGGUUUACAUAUCUAUCCUCUCAAAGUGUUUGGAAAUAGCAUCUUUCUGUUAGGACUCUAGCUAGGAGAGUCCUAAUUGAGAGGGACAUUCAUGUAAAACCUACCUAAGCCGACCCCUAUUAAAAAGGUGAAGUGACCUAGGGUUAGGAGCUUAUUUCUUAUAGAAGAAUAAUGAGUUGUAAAGGAAUAGGAGUCUUGAGUAGGAGUCCUAUUAUGAGUUAGUUAGAAGUAGGAGUCUUGAGUAGGAGUCAUAUUAGGAGUUGGUUAGAAGUAGGAGUCUUAAGCAAGAGUCCUAUUAGGAGUCAGGGUUUAGAAGCCCUAUAAAUAGUCAUGUGUUCUACAUCUUUUCAUAGGCAAUAGAUGAAUUUUUUCUGCAGCCUUUGAGCAGCAACUUGGAGGGAGGAACCCCUAUAGAGUUCCAAGGAGGCCGAUCCCCUAAAGAGAUCAACCCAAAGUUUAGAAUCUACAAGGUUUCUAACACUUUCUCCUUACAAAUUUUGAAGUUUAGAAAUAGGCAAAUAGAUAUAGUAGCCCUUACAAUCAUUAUAAGGUUUAUAGGAUAUUAAUGUCAUUUAAAAUUUUAAUUAAUCAUAUAUAUGAAGAUUAACCAGAAGGACAUCUAUGUUUUCUGUUUUGGAAGGAUAUAUGUAUGGUAGACUCAAAUUUAGAGGGAUAAAUAUGAUAAUAAUGCCUUUUUUUUAUUGUUGAACCUAAGGGAUUGUUUACACAGUGGCUAAAUUCAUUGACAGAACAUUGGAUACACAGGUUGUCGACCAAAAAUGUUUAUAUACUCAUUGCAAAAUAAUCAAUCUUGAAGAAAGAAUUACUUUGAAUUAAAUAUGAGAAUCCAAGUGUGAUCAAUUGAUAUACAAUGUAAUAGUUCUUGAAGCAAUAUCUAAAUACCAUAUUUAUGGAAGCCAUGCUAACGAAUUUAGCAACUAGUAGAAAUGCAAAUGUAACAUAUUAUUCACUAAAUAACAACUUUUUAAGACACGGAUGUUGUGUUCUCGCAGACAAGUAGGCUUUAAAAGUUGAAAAGUAACAUAAAUUUGAAAAGAGUUCUCGGUUCAAAAGAAAGGCUAUACAAAAAGGGAAGUUCCAAGCGUAUUGUAUGAUAUCGAAAGUGUAAGAAAAGGGUAAAGAAUCUGCUGGCAACAAAAAAAAUCUAAUUCUUCUACCCAAAUGACCGAAAAUGCUUCAAAUGUCAUGGUUUUAAGUAUAUUGUUUCAGAUUGUCCAAAUAGGAGGAUUGCAACUUUGGUCGAAGAUCAUAAUGAUGGAGGAGAAGAUGAAGCUGACGACGAACCAAAAUAUGAUGAAGAUGAGGAAGAUGUUACUUAUGCAUAUCAUGGUUUGUCUAUUGUAUUGCAACAUAGCAACAAUGCACUUCUCUUGGCAAGGUGUGCUUGGUGAUCAUCAAUAGUGGUAGCUUUGAGAACAUGGUAUCUUUAGAGAUGGUGCAUAAGCUAAAGUUGGACACAAUCCCUUAUCCACAUCCAUACUAAUUACUAAUUAUGUUGGUUGCAAAAAAGAAAUGACAUCAAGGUAACUAAAAGAUGUUUAGUUUCAUUUUUUAUUGGCAUGUAUUAUAAAGACGAAGUAUGGUGUGAUGUUGCUCGAAUGGACGCUUAUCAUUUGCUGUUGGGGAGACCUUGACAUUAUGAUAGAAGGGUGUUGUAUGACAGCUACAAACCUAAUAAGGUAGCAUACAGAAUAAGUUCCAAUGAGCAUGAAGAACUUCAAAGGCAAGUUGAUGAAUUGGUGAAAAAGAGAUUGAUUCGGGAGAGCAUGAGUCUUUGUGCAGUCCUAGCCUUGUUGGUGUCUAAGAAGGAUGAAUCUUGGAGAAUAUGUGCGGAUAGUCACACCAUCAACAAAAUUACAGUAGACUAUUGUUUUCCUAUUCUAAGGUUAGAUGAUUUACUUGAUCAAUUGUGUGGUGCUUAUAUUUUCUCUAAAAUUGAUUUGAGGAGUGACUGUUACGAAAUAAGAAUGAGGCCCAAAGGUGAGUGGAAAACAAUAUUUAAAACUAGAGAAUGCUUAUAUGAAUGAUUGGUUAUGUCAUUUGGGCUAUCUAAUGCUUAUAGCACUUUCAUGACAUUUAUGAAUCACAUACUUAAGUCAUACAUUGGAUUAUUUGUUGUAGUUUACUUUGACGAUAUAUUGGUGUACAUCAAGAGCGAAGAGGAGCAUAUGAAUCAUCUGAAAGAGAUCUUUCUUAUUUUGAAACAUCAAAUGCUAUAUGCUAAUAUAAAGAAGUAUGAUUUCUUUACUUCUAAUGUUGUGUUUUUGGGGUAUAUUGUUUCAAAAGAUGAAACCACGAUGGAUCAAAGUAAGGUAGAAGCUAUUCUCAAUUGGCCAAUACAUGCUUCAUUGCAUGAUGUGAGGAGUUUCCAUGGCUUAACUUCCUUUUACAGAAGAUUCAUCAAGGGUUUCAGCUCUAUUGUCGCUCCAAUCACUGAAUGCCUGGAAUGUGAUAAACUCAAAUGGACUAACGAGGCUAAUGAUGCUUUUGAUCUUUUAAAAAGAAAGGCGACCGAAGCUCCUAUCUUAGUUCUACCAAAUUUUGACAAUGUGUUCAAGGUUGAAUGUGACACCUCUAAUGUGGGAAUUGGUGCUGUUUUGAGUCAAGACGGAAAGCCCAUUGUAUUUUUUAGUGAAAAGCUAAAUGAUACGAGAAAGAAAUAUUCUACAUAUGAUAAGGAGUUUUAUACCAUUUAUCGAGCUUUAUCUCAUUAGAGUCAAUAUCUUCUUGCCAAGUCAUUUGUCCUAUAUUCUGAUCAUGAGGCAUUAAAGUUCAUUAAUCACCAACACAAGCUAAACAAGAGGUAUGCAGCUUGGGUGGAGUUUUUGUAAUUUUAUAACUUUACAAUCAAGCACAAAUCUGGUGUUCAAAAUGUAGUUGUUGACGCAUUGAGCAGAAAACAUUAUUUAUUAUCAACAAUGGAAGUCAAAGUAGUUGAAUUCGAAACAUUCAAAGAUCUCUUGUUAUGAGUAUGAUGUGGAUUUCGGCUCAAUAUGGCAGAAUUGUAAAUCAUGUUCCUUUCAAUAAUUUUUAUCUUUGAUGGUUUACUUUUUCGAGCUAAUGCUUUAUAUGUUCCAUCUUAUUCUUUGAGACAAGUAAUUAUAGUUGAAGCUCAUGUUGGUGUUUUGGGUGGACAUUUCGGUAGAGACACUAGCUCUUGUUCAAUCAAACUUCUAUUGGCCUAAGAUGUUUAGAGAUAUGGAGAGAUAUGUCAAGCAAUACUGAGUGUGUCAUUUGACAAAAAUAAGAAGUCAAAAUUCUCGAUUGUACACUCCAUUGCUUGUGCCAAAUACUCAAUGGGAGGAUAUGAGUCUUGAUUUUAUUUUGGGACUGCCAAGAACUCAAAGGAACAAGGAUUUUAUCAUAGUUGUUGUUGACAGAUUUUUAAAAAUGUCUCACUUUGUUCCCUGCAAUAAAUCGAAUGAUGCAUCUCAUAUUGCUGAUUUGUAUUUUAAGGAGAUUGUUAAAUUGCAUAGUAUUCCAAGAACUAUGGUGUUUGAUCAAGAUUUAAAAUUUCUUAGUCAUUUUUUAAGAACUCUUUGGAGGAAGUUGGGUACUUCUUUGAAUUUCAGCAGCUCGCAUCAUCCACAAACAGAUGGGCAAACUGAGGUAAUGAACAAAAGCUUGGGAAAUUUACUUAGAAGUUAUGUUGGCAAGAAUAUUAAGUAGUGAGAUCUUAUUCUUCCACAAAUUGAGUUUUCCUACAAUCGUUCUAUGCAUCAUAGUAUGGGUAAGAGUCCUUUUGAGGUUAUUUAUAGUGCUAAUCCUAUUGGUCAUUUGGACUUCGUCCCUUAUUCGAUAACUAAGCAAUUUAAUAGAGAUGCUAACAAGAGAGUAAAGCAGAUAAAGAAACUACAUGAGAGUGUUAAAUCAAAUAUAGAAAAGCAAAAUGAGAGGUACAUGGAAGCUGCCAACAAACACAAAAAACAUAUGGAGUUUAGUAUUGGAGAUUUGGUCUGGAUUCAUCUAAGGAAUGAGAGGUUUCCACUAGGUAAGUUUGGAAAAUUGAAACCAAAGACUGAUAGUUCAUUCAAAGUGCUUAAGAGAAUUGGUAAAAAUGUUUAUAAGAUCGAGCUACCUGAAGAUUACGGAGUGUCUCCAACAUUUAAUGUUGCUGAUUUAAGUCAUUUUCACAAUCAUGUUGACAAAACAGAUAAGGGCUUGAGGACAAAUCUUUUUCAACCAUGAGAGAUUGACACGGGAGUGUCUAAUUUGCUACAAUUUGUUUAUAUGAACCUUGUUGAUGAUAUAGUAUUUUUUUCAGCUAAUAAUAUUAUCUUAUAAUCUUCAACUCAGCCCACUCAAAUAUGACAGCUUAUCAGCAUAUUCUCUACACAAAGUCAAAGCUGUUUCAAGGUGCUUUUCUUCAUGAUUAAGGAAUGCAUUAAAGGAGUUGGUUAGAAGCUAUAAAACACUUAAUUUCGAAAUUCCCUAUGAAAGAUUGUUUUAUACAAUAGUACUUAUUUUAGUGUUUAGGACUUAGAAAGGACUUUAGAAAUUGAUGAUAUUUUGACAUAGGUUCUUUUGGAGUACUCCCUUAAACUCUGUAUCUUUUGGAUGCGUCAUUGAGUGGUGAAUCUUUUGUUUUCAGUUCUGUAUCAUUAUUUAUAAUCCUUGGAGUGGUAAAUUUUCUGUAUCCCUUUGUUAUUUUAACUUAUUGACACGGACUUAGCUGAUUUUGCCUAAGUCGUGCGGCACCCUUGCGUGUCCGUCCGCAAAGGCCAGCCUCCCCGAAGCCUCCCAUUGUCCCUUAGGACCACCAAAAGAGAGAACGCCUCAAUCGGGAUCCACAAGCAAACAUCUCCGAAAAACACUUCAUAGACAAUGCAAAUUACAAACAGACUUUAUAAGCUCUGAACAGUGGCACAACAAAGGGUAAAAUGGUCCAUUACAGACCGAAAAGCUCUCGCACGUGUCCACAUGACACAACCUUUAUUUAUAAGCCUAAAGAGGCCACCAACCCAACUAAAAUGUGACUAUUAAGCCUUCGGCCGCCCCUUUACAUUAUGUACAAGGCAUGAACAUGCCAAAAGACACGGACAAACAUAAGCAUUACAUCCAACAUCUUGUUGAGAAAUUUGUCUGUGACAUUCUCCCCCACUUGUCCCUUCGACGUCCUCGUCGAAGCCUUUGUGAACACUACAACUCUUCGCCUUUGCUGAGUCUUCAAUCUUCCGCUCCAGCUGCAAUGCGCCUCCUGGCUCCCAACUGCUCUCCGCUGCUGUUUUUGAGUAGUCGAACCUUUGAUCCGCCAUGCUGCUUCAACUCGCCAAUGACUCUGACUCUGGUGUGGGGUUGGCUGAGUUGUGUUGAUCCUCGUUGAUUCCUGCGGAUCCACCAAAUGAAGGAAAAGACCAUCCUUACUGCGCCAGUCUCUCAAAAUUUCCACAUGCUGCUUGAACUGGGUGGAUGCUUGUUGGAGCUUUAACGAGCAUCGCCUCGUAAACUUCUGAAGUUUUUGGUCCUUCCUCCACAAAAUCUGCUCAUUGACUCUUCUUUCAGUUAGUUGUCACAUCCAAGUAGGUUCGCAUCACUUUCGCUUUCGAUUGGCAUUUCGUUGGGAAAUGAAGCGGACAAUCUACUCUCAGUAGCACUGAUUACCGUUGGUGAGGAUUUGACAACUAUUGUCUUCCAUUAUCUUCGAAGGGUCUUUGAACUUGUGCAGAGCUCCUCUGCUGGAUAGAUAAGAGAAUUGGGGUACUCGGUUUCGCCCAUUCUCUUGAGAGUUGAGAAGACAAAGGUUACU